rnacentral:rRNA from 1 species
UACGGGGGGGCAAGCGUUGUUCGGAAUUACUGGGCGUAAAGGGCUCGUAGGCGGCCAACUAAGUCGGAUGUGAAAUCCCCAGGCUUAACCUGGAACUGCAUCCGAUACUGGAUGGCUUGAAUCCGGGAGAGGAAGUGGAAUUCAGGUGUAGCGGUGAAAUGCGUAGAUAUCUGAAGGAACAUCAGUGGACGAAAGCGACUUCCUGGACCGAGAUUGACGCUGAUGAGCGAAAGCUAGGGAGCAAACGG